GUUGCAAAUGUGAGGAUGAUUGAGGAGAGGGAGGGUGAGGUAGGAGCCCUUACACUCUACGUUACGUUACACACUUUCACUGGCAAUCACAUCAUAGCCAUGCCCUAAAACACCCCCUGCUUCAUCGCCGUUUUAAAAU